rfam:Mesorhizobium amorphae CCNWGS0123 contig00259, whole genome shotgun sequence.
AAUACCCGGCGAGUGGAACCUCCUCCCUCUGCUCCCCGGGGUGACCAGCCAGCACCUCCUCCCGCUGGCUCGUAACAGGAAAAGGCCGGCACCUCCUCCCGCCGGCCUUUUCUUUU